rnacentral:misc_RNA from 1 species
GACAUCGUGACGCGGUACUGUGAAAUGUUGGAGGAAGGUUCGAAUCUUAUUCUCCGUCAUGUUGGACCCAAACGAAUCGAUGCUUCUACUUGUCCUCCUCUUAUGACAUUGAAGAAAGGUAAAACAACAUUCGGACGUCAUCCACGUAAUGAUUACCUGAUUGAUUCUUCCACUUUCAAAAACUUUAUUUCCCGGUGGCACUGCAAGAUCGAACCCUGUCAGCUGGCUGACGGCAAGAUUGUCUAUAAGAUAUUCGAUUGCAGUUUAAAUGGCACCUUUGUCAAUGACUACAGAGUUAGCCAAGAUGGCUGUGUUUUAAAUAAUGGGGACAAAAUCAUAUUUGGCCAUUUAAACGGUUCAAACAUCACAGCUGGCAGCUUCGCUCGACAGCCUAAAUCAAUAUUCCAAUAUGUAUUUCAAGAUAACAAUGACAGUUUGCCAAACUCUCCAAAGAACAAAGACUACAAAAAUAUUUGGUCCAGUCCAUGUUGUAGAAAAGUGAUCAAGUUGGAUCAAGCAAAUUUAUCUUUGGAAUAUUUUGGUGACAGCGAUGUCUUUGACUCUAGUGACAUUGCAUGUGACGAUGAUGAAGAGACAGGAUAUUCUACAGACUUGUGAUACCAUGUAGAAAGGAAAAGAAGAAGAAGAAAAAAAUAGGUGAAUGCUAGUCAAACCAAAAAAAAUGGUCAGUGGAUUGGCAGAAACAGUAGAGCAAAGGGCAAAAUACCUUGAAGUAUUCAGUUACAAGUUCAAAUCCAGCUGACAGCUGAUGAUAUCAUUUGUGUUGAAAUUUCAAUUUAAGUAAGAACACUUUGGUAAAGACCGUCCCAGGUGUGUAUGUGCAUCCGUGUGUGUGUGUGUGUGUGUGUUCUAUUUAAGGGUUGUAUGGAGAGAUUAAAUUAUGUUUAUUUACUUGAAAUUGUUUAGUCAUGGGAGGCAGAAGGGGACAGCGCUUGGACCUUUGCCACAUCCUCCUGCACCAAGGGGAAUGACGCUCCACUGGUUCAACAUCUGUGGGGAGGAGGUAUAGGUGGGGGAUGAGGGUGGAAGAAAAGAAUGUGAGCAUGGAGAUUGCAGGGGUGAUGUUGUCCUGGGGAGAGAAAGGACUGGCCAUUGUAUUUUGUGUGAAAGCUAGGAACUGAGGGAAGGAGAGGAGAUAAGGCCAUUGGGUUAGGGUUAGGGUUCAGAAGAGCAGGGACCAAUGUAGUAUCAGUUGAAAGAAUUGAUGGAGUGGACUGUUUACUAGUGGGUAAACUUUUGUGAUAGUCAGGGGAGUGGCAAUGUGGCCCAGGAUGUUCUUGUGUUUGGAUAGUAGUGUUCUAGUCUUGAUUGAUUAAGAUUAAAGUAUUUUCUAGGCUUUAUAAGAAAACACUAGUCUCUUGGAUGUGCUCUGUGAUGUUUGUGUAUGAAAUAGCAUCAUCAGUGACCCCCAGAUAUCUAAGCAAUACUGUAAUGUGGUCUACAAUGUCUGUGUAGGUAUGUAUGGGUGUGUGUGUGUAUAUAUAUCAACAACAGUUUAAUGUGAUUUAAUAUGAUUAUUGUAUGUAACAGGCAACAUUGUCCCUUAUAUGUAAGCAGUUGUGUAAUGUGGUGUGUGUGUGUGUAUUUAUAUAUAUAUAUAUAUGUGUGUGUGUGUGUGUGUGUGUGUGUGUGCAUGUAUGUAUAUGGUGAUGAUGAUGAUAUAUAUUCUUUGAGUUUGUUUUAUGAGAAACAACUUUGAGCGUACUCAUAAAAGGCUCCUAUACUAUUUUUUUCCCAGCUACUGCUUAUUAUUCUCGUCUUCCAAAGUAAUUUUAGGGGAUGGUUAUCAAUCUUAUUAAUCUGGUGCUGCUAUAGCAUAGGAUGAAUAUAGUAACAACACAAACUUUAAGAUGGAAAUUCAUAAAUACUUUUAUGCAUUGCUAUGUACGUUUCCACAAAGCACGUGCAGCCACAAAAAAAAAAAAC